ensembl:rRNA 5S_rRNA 5S ribosomal RNA
GCCUACGGCCAUACUACCCUGGAUGUGCCCAAUCUCAUCUGAUCUGGGAAGCAAAGCAGGGUCGGGCCUGGUUAGUACUUGGAUAGGAGAGCACAGGGGGUUAAGGAA